rnacentral:tRNA from 5 species
GACUCGCUAGCUCAGUCGGUAGAGCAACUGACUUUUAAUCAGUGGGUCGCAGGUUCGAUUCCUGCGCGGGUCA